rnacentral:rRNA from 1 species
UGCAAGUCGAGCGGUAGCACAGAGAGCUUGCUCUCGGGUGACGAGCGGCGGACGGGUGAGUAAUGUCUGGGAAACUGCCUGAUGGAGGGGGAUAACUACUGGAAACGGUAGCUAAUACCGCAUAACGUCGCAAGACCAAAGUGGGGGACCUUCGGGCCUCAUGCCAUCAGAUGUGCCCAGAUGGGAUUAGCUAGUAGGUGGGGUAACGGCUCACCUAGGCGACGAUCCCUAGCUGGUCUGAGAGGAUGACCAGCCACACUGGAACUGAGACACGGUCCAGACUCCUACGGGAGGCAGCAGUGGGGAAUAUUGCACAAUGGGCGCAAGCCUGAUGCAGCCAUGCCGCGUGUGUGAAGAAGGCCUUCGGGUUGUAAAGCACUUUCAGCGGGGAGGAAGGCGUUAAGGUUAAUAACCUUGUCGAUUGACGUUACCCGCAGAAGAAGCACCGGCUAACUCCGUGCCAGCAGCCGCGGUAAUACGGAGGGUGCAAGCGUUAAUCGGAAUUACUGGGCGUAAAGCGCACGCAGGCGGUCUGUCAAGUCGGAUGUGAAAUCCCCGGGCUCAACCUGGGAACUGCAUUCGAAACUGGCAGGCUAGAGUCUUGUAGAGGGGGGUAGAAUUCCAGGUGUAGCGGUGAAAUGCGUAGAGAUCUGGAGGAAUACCGGUGGCGAAGGCGGCCCCCUGGACAAAGACUGACGCUCAGGUGCGAAAGCGUGGGGAGCAAACAGGAUUAGAUACCCUGGUAGUCCACGCCGUAAACGAUGUCGAUUUGGAGGUUGUGCCCUUGAGGCGUGGCUUCCGGAGCUAACGCGUUAAAUCGACCGCCUGGGGAGUACGGCCGCAAGGUUAAAACUCAAAUGAAUUGACGGGGGCCCGCACAAGCGGUGGAGCAUGUGGUUUAAUUCGAUGCAACGCGAAGAACCUUACCUGGUCUUGACAUCCACAGAACUUUCCAGAGAUGCAUUGGUGCCUUCGGGAACUGUGAGACAGGUGCUGCAUGGCUGUCGUCAGCUCGUGUUGUGAAAUGUUGGGUUAAGUCCCGCAACGAGCGCAACCCUUAUCCUUUGUUGCCAGCGGUCCGGCCGGGAACUCAAAGGAGACUGCCAGUGAUAAACUGGAGGAAGGUGGGGAUGACGUCAAGUCAUCAUGGCCCUUACGACCAGGGCUACACACGUGCUACAAUGGCAUAUACAAAGAGAAGCGACCUCGCGAGAGCAAGCGGACCUCAUAAAGUAUGUCGUAGUCCGGAUUGGAGUCUGCAACUCGACUCCAUGAAGUCGGAAUCGCUAGUAAUCGUAGAUCAGAAUGCUACGGUGAAUACGUUCCCGGGCCUUGUACACACCGCCCGUCACACCAUGGGAGUGGGUUGCAAAAGAAGUAGGUAGCUUAACCUUCGGGAGGGCGCU